UCAAGUGAUGAUGAUAUGAUUCAAUUUGAUUUGGCUUUGUGUUGUUUUCCAUUUCCUGGCCUCUUAUAUACUUCUACGAAUGUUUUAUCCGGCUGUACACAACGAGAGCAGAAACUCUCCUUUUAUUUUGUUCAUGAAAGAUGCAGAGAAAUCAAUUGCAGGAAAUCCAGACACAUGCUCUACAUUUAAAAGCAAACUUGAAAAGCUUCCUGAUAAUCUGGUAGCAAUUGCUUCACACACACAAACUGACAAUUGCAAAGAAAAGGUAAUAUUUUGGUCACAGAUUAAACCCGGGGAGUGAGGGUGUUCCAAAUGUAUUUUGAAUUUUAUUUACCAAUUUUCUUCUAUGCUGAAGCACCAAAAAUUUCAAAUUUGAGGCAUCUUGGUAUUAUUCUUCCUCAGAAUUCAACUGAGAGAAAAAUCGCAAAAGAUAUUGAAAAAUUUGAAAAAUGUUAUUUAUGAACGUGCAUGUCGAAGUUCCUCUACGCAUAUAACAGGCAGCCUUCUGUUAAAUAUUGGGAGUUGCUAACUGAAAAUAACUUAAAAGAAAAGUUAUUCAAGUACGUGAACUGUAGAUUCAAUGUGCUUUAUUCUUCAUUGAUGUAGGUUUAAGUAUUCAAAAGGGAAUUAUAUAGAUGGGUGACCUUGGUCAAGAAAAUUGAAGCGUUCUAGACUUCUAAAACAAUUACAUUUAACCUGUGGCGUUGGUGUUUAAACUCCCUUCUAAUAUAUACUAAAACUUAUUUACCCUUAUUUUUGUGCAGUGAAAGUCAGAAGCCUACAAAUUGAG
rnacentral:lncRNA from 1 species